rnacentral:rRNA from 1 species
AGAGUUUGAUCAUGGCUCAGGAUGAACGCUAGCUACAGGCUUAACACAUGCAAGUCGAGGGGAAACGACAUCGAAAGCUUGCUUUUGAUGGGCGUCGACCGGCGCACGGGUGAGUAACGCGUAUCCAACCUGCCCACCACUUGGGGAUAACCUUGCGAAAGUAAGACUAAUACCCAAUGACGUCUCUAGAAGACAUCUGAAGGAGAUUAAAGAUUUAUCGGUGAUGGAUGGGGAUGCGUCUGAUUAGCUUGGUUGGCGGGGUAACGGCCACCAAGGCGACGAUCAGGUAGGGGUUCUGAGAGGAAGGUCCCCCACAUUGGAACUGGAGACACGGUCCAAACUCCUACGGGACA